rnacentral:lncRNA from 13 species
AUCCUCAGUUUUCACAAUGAACGUAUCAAUUCUAUCAUUUACUUUAUUCUAGUGAAUAAGCAGAAUUUCUAUUGAUCAGCAACAUAGAAUACCUGGAUUCCAAGCAUAUGUCUUCAAUUGACCUAAAUAAAACAAACAAGAGGCCAUUUCAUGACACAGGGAAUCUCCAUAGGAGCAUGACAGAAAGCCGUAAGUAUUUUUAACAGCACGUUAUUACUGCACUUUACAUGUAAGGAAAGGCUUUCUUCCUAAGAAU